rnacentral:rRNA from 1 species
AUUGAGCGCUGGCGGCAGGCCUAACACAUGCAAGUCGAACGGUAACAGAAAGCAGCUUGCUGCUUUGCUGACGAGUGGCGGACGGGUGAGUAAUGUCUGGGAAACUGCCUGAUGGAGGGGGAUAACUACUGGAAACGGUAGCUAAUACCGCAUAACGUCGCAAGACCAAAGAGGGGGACCUUCGGGCCUCUUGCCAUCGGAUGUGCCCAGAUGGGAUUAGCUAGUAGGUGGGGUAACGGCUCACCUAGGCGACGAUCCCUAGCUGGUCUGAGAGGAUGACCAGCCACACUGGAACUGAGACACGGUCCAGACUCCUACGGGAGGCAGCAGUGGGGAAUAUUGCACAAUGGGCGCAAGCCUGAUGCAGCCAUGCCGCGUGUAUGAAGAAGGCCUUCGGGUUGUAAAGUACUUUCAGCGGGGAGGAAGGGAGUAAAGUUAAUACCUCUGCUCAUUGACGUUACCCGCAGAAGAAGCACCGGCUAACUCCGUG